rnacentral:lncRNA from 1 species
CUCUUGUGUUUUGCUGGUUUAUCAAAUCCUUUGAUGGCUCAAGGAAGAUGUUAUUGACUUAGCAAUUCGGAAAAUAUCAAUUCCUUAUAUACAGCUGGUAGAGGAAAAUGUAAAUAUUUUUAACAAGCAAUAAAGAAUCAUCAUUUUCCUAGAGGUGGCUUAUGGUGUCUUAUAAAUGAUUAAUAACUGGAAUGACUCAGAGAGGUUUGAUGAAGAGUAGAAAAUCAUGGAGAAAUUUGAUUGGAUGAAGGGCAUGUGAUCUAAUGGAGUAAACUGGAGAAAACUCAGCAAGGCUUGUUGGUUCCGAUUCUCCUCUGUGACCCUUUGUCUUCAGAGAGUCUCCCUCUGUCACCCAGGCUAAAGUGCAGUAGCAGGAUCUCUGCUCAUUGCAACGUCUGCCUCCUGAGUUCAAGUGAUUCUCCUGCCUCGGCCUUCUGAGUAGCUGGGAUUACAGGUGAGCACCACUAUGCCAGGCUAAUUCUUGUAUUUUUAGUAGAGACAGGGUUUUGCCAUGUUGACCAGGCUGUUCUCAGACUCCUGACCGCAGGUAAUCGCCCUCCUUGGCCUCCCACAGUUCUGGGAUUACAGGCAUGAGCCACCACAUCCGGUGAGAUCUGAUUGUUUAAAAGUUUUGCAGCACCUCUCACUUCACUCUAUUCUUCCUUCCCCAGCCAUGUAAGACAAUCCUGCUUCCCUUUUGCCUUCUACCAUGAUUUUAAGUUUCCUGCGACCGCCCCAGCCAUGCUUCCUGUAAAGCCUGCAGAACUGUGAGUCAAUUACAUCACUUCUCUUUAUGAAUUACCCAGUCUCAGGUAGUUCUUUGUAGCAAUGCAAGAACAGACUGAUACAAGUACAUUAUAGCCAACAAAGUACUUGUGUUCAUUAUUUUAUUCUUUUAUACAAUUGUUUUCCUUUAUCCAUGAGGGACAUCUUCCAAGACCCCCAGUGGAUGUCUGAAACUGCAGAGAGUACCAAAUCCUAUAU